GAGCGGGCGUAGCAAUACGUCAGCGGCAGACGGGUGAGUAACGCGUGGGAACGUACCUUUUGGUUCGGAACAACCCAGGGAAACUUGGGCUAAUACCGGAUAAGCCCUUACGGGGAAAGAUUUAUCGCCGAAAGAUCGGCCCGCGUCUGAUUAGCUAGUUGGUGAGGUAACGGCUCACCAAGGCGACGAUCAGUAGCUGGUCUGAGAGGAUGAUCAGCCACAUUGGGACUGAGACACGGCCCAAACUCCUACGGGAGGCAGCAGUGGGGAAUAUUGGACAAUGGGGGCAACCCUGAUCCAGCCAUGCCGCGUGAGUGAUGAAGGCCCUAGGGUUGUAAAGCUCUUUUGUGCGGGAAGAUAAUGACGGUACCGCAAGAAUAAGCCCCGGCUAACUUCGUG
rnacentral:rRNA from 1 species